ensembl:lncRNA
UGGAUGAAAGACAGGAAUGUUAUUCCAGAAAAAUCAACCUGACUGAUCACGCCACGUUCUUCUCCAUUCUGAUGCUCGGUUUGAACAGCAGCGGGUCGUCUUGACCAUGUCGACAUGGAUUUGCUGUCAUGUGAUUGGCUGAUUAGAUAUUUGGAGAGGUGGCCUCAAAAAAUUACCAGUUAGUGUUUCUUAUCUAUGCAAACAUAGAACCCCCAAAAUAAAAACAAAACACAUGCUUAUAUGCAAAAUAUUUAUGUACACAUUCUGAGGCAAAUAUUUGACAAAAAUAUACAAAACAAAGGUGCUCUUUAACAAUGAAAUAACUGUUACAUCUUCCUAAAUUAUUCAGUUUGAAGCUUCAAACUGAAACUGAGAAACUGAUGGAUUACGAUGCAAAGAUGAAGAGGUUUUGUUGUUUGGGUGAAGAGAGAGGAUUUUUUAAAUGGACCGGACAGAAAUGUUUGGGUUCUGAUGUAUUUCAGUGACAGAAAUAUGUGAGCCGACAUGACAGAAAUCAAACAUCAGGAGCUGAUGGAGCUGACUAGUGGUGAGUUAUUCUGCACAGCUGUCUCUAGAUGUACCGCCACGCUCAUCAUCCACCCUGCUGACUGCCCGGAUCAGAAAAGUCCCUUCGAGUCAGAGCUCUUCGUCAUCCUCACUGGCCCCCAUGUCCAGCUCCUUGUCUUUGUGCUCGGCUCUCUCCGUCACAAACUCCUUCUGCAGCUCCUCCAGCUCAUGCAGCUCCUUCUGCAGGCGCUCCACAUGCUGCACACGCCGGUUCCUCAGCAGGCGGCGUGGGAACGGGUUCAUGUCUCCAAAGGCAAUGCUGGUCAGCCUCCUACAUGCACACACACAAGAAUUCACAAGAACUCAUACCAGGACCGCUGGGUGAGUCCAUACCUGCUGUCUGAGAUGGUCUUCGUGAAGAAGCGCAGGUACUGGUAGAUCUCCACUCCAUCGUUUAUCUUCAGGAUGUCGUCCUCUUUGUAUUUGAAAAGAGCCAGAGCGUACCUGAAGAUCACCUGCACACACGAGCAGACUCUGAAAAGUUAAGAUGUUCAUGUCAGAGAGCGAGUGCUGAGAGCUGUGGUGCCUUCAGGUUCUGUCCGGGUAUCUCAAUGUUGCAGUUGUAACUUUUAUGUUGCAUUGUGGGUACUUAUUUAUUGGGAGUGUGCCAAAAUCCAAAACACACCUCAGGUAGCGAGCUGAACAGGAUAAACAUUUAUUGAACACUAAAACGACAUUUUUAAAAGGUUAAAACUGUAACUUUUUAACAUAAUUAUGGACUGAAUGUAUAGAAUUACCCAAGAUAACGCUAGUGUGAAUGCUGUAAGAUGAACUUGGCUGAGGAUGCUAGUGCUGAUAGCUGAAGAUGCUGAAAUUGAUAGUUAAAAACGCUGAAGCUGAAAGCCAGCUAAAAUAUUAGCUAAAUGCAAAAUUAAAAAAUAGAAAUAGAAAAAAAAAAAAAAGAAUUUAGGUUAGUGAAAAACAGCUAAAAAAUAGCUAUUUUUUCAAAAUGGACACAAAAAAAAAAAGAAAAAAAGGAAAAAAGCCUAAGCCUAAGCGUGUAGCUGAAAUAUUAGCUAAACUUUAAAAUAGCCUUAAAUUUAAAAAAAAAAGCCUAAAUUAGCCAAAAUAGCUAGCAUGUAGCUGGAAUAUUAGCUUAACUCCAAAAUAGCGUAAAUCUUAGAAGAGUCCAAAAAGCUAACAGAAUACAAUUUUUUAAACUUUAAAACUGUAACUUUUUAGCAUAAAUAUGAAUAAUAAAAAGUCAGGAAUUUUAUUCCAGAAUAAAUCAACUUAAACCUUAAAUAACUUUCAAUAUUUUACUCUCCAUAAAAAUAUAUUUUAUCAAAAUUAUAGAAGUUAGAAAUAAGAGCAAGAUAACAUCGAGCCAUUAAAGUCCCCCUAAGACAAUUUAAAAAAAAAAUUCUUUAAAAUAAAAUGAUCUGAUAGAAUUACCCAGGGGCCGGAUUUCACAAACGUUACAUUUGUCAUCCUUUGGUGAGACGUUCCUUUAGAGGUAGAUGGGGGCGUGCGUUGCACUAAUGUGUCCAGCAGCAACUUAAAUAAUUAUUUAAUUUGUGUUCUUUACAACCAUCCUGCUCUAAGUUGUGACACUUCUGUUCAUGUUUACUAUUGUUAACACUGAAUUUUACAGAUAAUUCCAAUACCGUGUGUGUCAAUGCUCGUCAAGUGUCUUAUUUGCUGUUCAAAACGAGGCACAAGUUGUGUGUUAUGAUUGUGUUCUAGAUCAAAAGUAAAUGUAGAAAUAUCAGCCAUUUAUCACAUGGUACGGUGAGGGACCCGGUGAUUUCCAGCCCUCCGUUUCAUUGAGUUGUAGCUGUUGUGAUGCGUUCAGGAGUGGCUGUUCUACCUUCGUGCCCUCAUAGAGAAAAGCGUCCCACAGCGGCAGCAGGAUGUCACUGGGCAGACUUUCCACGAAAGCCACCAAGAACCAGUUGAAAGUUAUGAGGGUGACGUCUAUGUUGUGCUUUUCAAAGUGCGCUGCCAGCCGUGGAAGCUUCUCCGCCAGGAAGUCCUUCAGGACCCUCUGAUCUGCCUGAAAACCAACAGCAUCAGGCAAAGCAUCUGUGUACAGACAGUUCACUACUGCACAAGUUUGAUGGGCAUGUGACGUGUUUCCAGGUAAACAUAAGACUGCUGAGUUACCUGCAUGCAUUCAUUUUACAAGAAACAGAGAAUGAGUCUGUGUUUCAUUUGUUUCAUGUUUACACAAUGACAUCUUUUGAUGAAUUUUAGAUUAUUCUCAUAGUUUUUUUUUUUUUUUUUUUUUUAAUUAUGACUAUGUAAUUUUUAGCAAAGAUCAUAAAAAUGUUGUUUUCUUGAACCUAGUUUCUGCAGAGCGGCAGGAGUUCAUUAGAAAUUCCCCUGUGACUCGUGGUAUGGAGUAAGUCUUGCCCAUUACCCAUCAUCCAUCUGUUUACACUCCCCUCAAACUCCCCAGGUGACCUUUGACCCCACACCAUCCAUCAAACUCGUUUUGACAGGUGCCCCGCCCCUCAAGAUGACGCAACAAUUUAACAUCAAUUUGAUAAAUAAAGGGUAUAUAGGGUCAAAGGUCAGCUGUCAAAAUGAGUUUGAUGGAAAUAUUUUUCACUAUAGAUAAAGUUUUGGUCUCACUGACUCAAAUAAUGAAAAAAGUGCAUCUUUGAUGCUAAACGCUCUCAACUUUGAUCAACUGUAUUGCACUGGCUCAGAUAAGAUAAAGUAACAACUGCUAGAAUAUGAAAUUAGUUGUCAACUAUUUUAAUAUUCUUGUCUUCUUCUGAUUCACAACGAUUUAAAAAAAAAAAAAAAAAACUUAGGAACCCAACAUUAAGCUUAGUUUUCUUUAUUUAUGUCGCUUAUCAUUCAGAAAAAUGAGAAUGUAAAAAACGCCGAUAACAUGAUUGUCAUCGGGAUGACUCUUUAAAAAGAGGAGCUGUUUUUGAAUAGAAAAACUGUACGUCCUAAGAAACACAGCGACCAAACUCACCAAUCCUCCAGACUCCAAUGAAGGAGAUGGUUCAGAGCGGUUCGCUUCCUCUAUUUGUCGUUUCAUUUAUUCAUCCUUAAACCCUUCAAUUUAAGUCUUCUCUCUCCCAACAGGCAGUCCUCAAGGCUCUGACCUGGAGCCACUGCUGUUUGAUCUUCACAGAUUCAACAUUAUCUCAGCAGCAAACUUUUCUUUUUCUCAUCUUCUGCCUCCCUUUAAAUUAUAUUCCAUGUUUUAAUUCGAGUGUGAAGAAGGGAGCGAGGUUGUGGGGUUUAGUGGCUCCUGACCUGAGAGGCCAUCAGGUUUUUGGUGUAGUAAUCUGGAGGCAUGAUGGUUUCAACCACAGCUACCAGACACCAGAAGGCGUCCUCUUCGCUCUGCAGGACGAGCAGAGCAAUGGCCGCCAACCUGACAGACACGAUGGACAUCACUGUCACACAGCUGCAUUACAUGACACACCCCCACCAGUAAGAGAUCUGAACAUUAGAAUUAGCUAAAAUCAAUCCAACGUCGGGUAAAUUUGAGCUGAGCACCUGUUGAGGCCCUGACAGUACCCCACAGUUGGGUUGUGCCAAGAGAAUGACAGCAGAAUGCGGCGAAGCUCCUGGAGGGCGGGGCUUGACGGUGACGAAAAGUGCUGAUUAGUGGUUAAGGUGCGGUGAAGGUCCAGUUGGAUCUGCCGGGUGGCGGGAUGAGGGAACGUUCUACUCUUCUCACACAGCUGCAGACAGCAGAGACCGAUCACUCACCGGUGGGACGGUGUGGGGAGGUGUGGACCGGCGUACCUGCUCGUAGAGCUGCGGGUGGUGCUCCCAGAUGGUUCUGGUUCUGGCUCGGACCAUCCAGCGCCACACCCUCGGUCGAUACUCCCGGGGGACGCCGCCGCGCAGAAGGGUUUUCAGCUCUGGCGAAGGGCACAGGUCGUCUUGUGACCUGCCAGCCAGGAACUGCGCCCAGCGGCUCAGCAGGGGGUGCUCCGCCCCCUCCUGUGGGAACAAACACCCGUUAGGACUUUAUCGGAAUUUAACAAAUUUAAUUUGUGAAGUCCUCACUCUACCUGAAUCUACUUGUGAUAAUUCAAAGG